rnacentral:rRNA from 1 species
AACGAACGCUGGCGGCAUGCCUAACACAUGCAGGUCGAACGAGACCUUCGGGUCUAGGGGCGCACGGGUGCGUAACGCGUGGGAACCUGCCCUUAGGUUCGGAAUAACUCCCCGAAAGGGGUGCUAAUACCGGAUAAUGUCUUCGGACCAAAGAUUUAUCGCCUUUGGAUGGGCCCGCGUUGGAUUAGCUAGUUGGUAGGGUAAAAGCCUACCAAGGCGACGAUCCAUAGCUGGUCUGAGAGGAUGAUCAGCCACACUGGGACUGAGACACGGCCCAGACUCCUACGGGAGGCAGCAGUGGGGAAUAUUGGACAAUGGGCGAAAGCCUGAUCCAGCAAUGCCGCGUGAGUGAUGAAGGCCUUAGGGUUGUAAAGCUCUUUUACCCGGGAUGAUAAUGACAGUACCGGGAGAAUAAGCUCCGGCUAACUCCGUG